GCCACUAGAGCUAGACAGCUAGAGCCACUAGUAAUGGGAAAAUGUAAACAAAGCUCAACGCAAGAGAUCAUGCACAAAUUUUAACUGCGCUACCGCUACUUGAUUUAAAUUUGUAUAAUAUUUUUCCCUCUUAAAAAUCUACGCAAAUCAUGGCAGAAGUUUCGGAAUAUCUACGUAAAUUUCUUGCAGAUUGCGAGCGAGAAUUCAGCACCCGGUACACAGACGAGGACCCCGAGUUCAUCAAUUACCGCAAAUCCACCCAACGCGGACCGCCUUUGGAAGAGAAAUGGUUUGGUAGGCAGCCAAGACAAUUUGAUCGAAGCGAUCGCGGAAGAUCUGAUCGGAAUGAUCAGGGCAGACGGGAUGACAGGAGAGGAGGAGGACGAGACGGGAGGGAUAGAGGUGACUCAUAUCGCGGUCCAGACAGACAUAGAGACCAGCAUCAGUCGCGGCACCAUCCAUAUGGACAUCAUUCUGACCGACCUAGAUAUAGAUAACGUCAAUAUUAAAAACAGUUUAAUUUGAGCCCAACUCUAGAAAAAAGUAAGAUGCCACUUGACGACUCAAAAUUUAGACACGCCGUGGUUGGUGCGUUGAAAUGUUUGCAGUGCGAAAUCUGUGAGGAGGAGAGCCUGGAACUACUGCCUGGGCUUUGCGUAAGCCACGCGUUUUGUCAAGCAUGUUCCACCACAUAUUCAGCUUGUCCGUCGUGCAAGAGCGAUUUCAAACCCAAUGAGUCGAUCACGUUUUCCGUUGAUCCGCAAAUGCUGACAGCCUUGCACAGCUUGGAGUCGCUCUUGAAAGUAGGAACUGUUGAGGUUGAGACACCAGUGAAAAAACCAGUAUCUAGAAAAUCUGGAGGAAAACCUUCACUGCCGGAGUCAACUUUAAUUUCUUCAGCUAAAUUUGAUCUUGUCGACGCACCAAUACAAACUCCAGCACUUAAAAAAACUACAGACAAACCGCUACUACUAUCGCCAACUCCUGUACCUUCUCCUGCUAAAUCCGAGUCAACUGUGGUGUCUGUAACUUCAACUCCAGCGAGAAUGAGAGGCAGAAAAUCUUCACUGUGCAGCCCUGUGCCUGAUAUCAACAAGAGAAAUACUAAAGGAGAAACUUUGGUGCAUGUGGCUUGCAUAAAGAAAAAUUUUGAAGAAGUGGAAAGACUGCUGAGUCUGGGAGCAAACUGCUGUGUCCGAGACUACAAUGGAUGGACUCCUUUGCACGAAGCUGCUCAAAGUAACAGAAUGGAUAUUGCCAAAAUUUUGUUGGAGCAUGGUGCACGAGUAAAUGCAGCUGGUGGAGAAGAAUAUUUGACUCCUUUGCAUGAUGCCGUCUCCACUGGUUAUACGGAAAUGGUCAAGCUCCUCGUGAGAUUCGGAGCAGAUCCUGAUCAGAGAAGCAUAAAAGGAGAGAUAGCCAAGGAAUUGACGAAAAAUGCAGAAAUCAUCGAAGCCUUACAGAAUAUAAGCUCUCCUGAAAAAGAUUCGUCGACGUUGACAAGUGAAAUCACAUUUGCUGAUGGUCGACCCUUGCUGAUCAUGUCGAGCGGUUUAGACAAGAAUCAUAAGUCUGCCUUGCUUUCAUUUUUGAAGAUUUACCCUGGAAAAAUCGUUAACAAACCAAGUGGCGAUGUGAAGGUAGUAGUUGUCAAUAACGAGAAUAAUAUUUGCAACACUUCCAUAGCAGUGCUCACUGGAAUUGCUGCUGGUUCUUGGGUUGUCAGACCAGAAUGGUUAAGCACUUGUGUUGAAACUCGUUCUUUGGUAGAUCCUGUGCCAUACGAGUUGUAUGGAACGAAAAACUCGACUACGCCCAAUGUUUUCCGGCGUGCCAGGAUAAAUUCCAACGACAUGCUUCCUGGUCUGUUUGCUGGAUGCCAUUUUUUCUUCAGCAACAUUGAAAAAUUUGGAUCUGAUUUGAACAAGGAUGUCAUCAUGCAGAUUGUGAAAGUGAUGGGUGGACGGGUCUUGUCUCGGUCUCCAGAUCCCGAGAAUAUAUCUGGAGAUGGCGAUGUUCCUUUCCAUGCAAACGCAUCUGGACCUUUGGCAAAAUGCUCGCACUACAUCAUUUUUGAAAAGGGAAAGACCAAGAAGAAUUUCAUUGAGUUUAACAUGCAGCACAUCAAAGCUCUCCAAUACUCCUGGCUCAUAAAGUGCAUUGAAAAUUUUGAACUGAUUGAUCCAUAAUAAAAUGAAGAAGAAUUAAACUUACUUUACAGUUUUUUUCUCAUUACAAAUAAUUUGAGCUUGUAUAAGGACUUGACGAGCAGCAUUGUUGAUGUGUUGGAAUCUUGCUGGACCCAAGUGAACUCCACCAAACCAUCUUGUAACAAUGACCAGCACGUCGGAUGCAUUCAGAAUCUAAUGUAAAUGGAGCAUUCGACUGCCAGCAUGAGUUUCUCCAUCAUCAUCACAGUCACUAAUAAUGUUGCCUGACCUCUGAAUGCGGUAGGCAUAUAUGUUGUGGGUUGUAUUAGCUACUUUUUUGAUUUGGUGGAGAGCUUUUAAGGCAGAUCUGAGGCAGUUCACAGAAGUUAAAAUCGAGACAAGUUUUAAGCGGAAAUAGCCAUACUUGAUAUCACUAAUGUUCUUAACUAUUGCAACAUGUCCUUGGAAUGUGCAUUUCCCUGCUGAGAGUGGUUCUCCGUGAAUCAGGGGGUAAUGAGGAAAAACAUCUUUAAUUUCAUCCACGUUAAAUUUUGUUUUCUCUUCCAUUGAAUCAUUUGAAACUGGUUGAAAGGAACUGAGGGCUUCUCGAAGCUUUACUACCCAUUGGAAAAUGACAGGAAGACAUUCUGAAGCUGAUUGUCUACAUCAAGUCCGUCUUCUCCCUUGAGCCAAGGCGCAGAAAUUUGGUAGAUUGGGGGACUGUCUGCUGGGUAGUUGAGUGGAAACUUAAAGAAUAACAUUGCCUCUCUUCCUCCC